GUCCUUGUCAUCAGGCCUCUCUACAAAGGCACAGUGGCAGCCAGCACCCCUGGUAACAGCUACUCAGAGGAGCCCUUCCAUCACAGACACUAACAGACUCCGACCUUGGGCUCCCCAAGGAGGUUUUCAGUCAUCACCAGCAGAGAAAGCUGAGUGAGGCUGUGAAGGAGCUGGCGAGUUAAAGAUGUCUGUUUUUCUCCAAACAGGUUUCUGGUAAUGGAGGAGGAGGUUAUGCCUUUUGAAUAACAAGGCCUGCUGAGAGUGAGACUGAUGCUGAGUCAGGGAGGCUCGUGUCUGAGCUGGAGAUCAACACCACAGGAAUCAAAGUCCGCUGCUGACAGAUAAGUAUGUUCAGAAGAACAAUGGCUUGUUGAAAGUUUUGAUGAG